rnacentral:rRNA from 1 species
UAGGGAAUCUUCCGCAAUGGACGAAAGUCUGACGGAGCAACGCCGCGUGAGUGAUGAAGGUUUUCGGAUCGUAAAACUCUGUUAUUAGGGAAGGACAAAUGCGUAAGUAACUGUGCGCAUCUUGACGGUACCUAAUCAGAAAGCCACGGCUAACUACGUGCCAGCAGCCGCGGUAAUACGUAGGUGGCAAGCGUUAUCCGGAAUUAUUGGGCGUAAAGCGCGCGUAGGCGGUUUCUUAAGUCUGAUGUGAAAGCCCACGGCUCAACCGUGGAGGGUCAUUGGAAACUGGGAAACUUGAGUACAGAAGAGGAAAGUGGAAUUCCAUGUGUAGCGGUGAAAUGCGCAGAGAUAUGGAGGAACACCAGUGGCGAAGGCGACUUUCUGGUCUGUAACUGACGCUGAUGUGCGAAAGCGUGGGGAUCAAACA